CGGCGUGCUUAMMCAUGCAAGUCGAACGAUGUWWMMCUUCGGUGGGGAUUAGUGGCGAACGGGUGAGUAACACGUGGGCAAUCUGCCCUUCACUCUGGGACAAGCCCUGGAAACGGGGUCUAAUACCGGAUACUGACCCUYGCAGGCAUCUGCGAGGUUCGAAAGCUCCGGCGGUGAAGGAUGAGCCCGCGGCCUAUCAGCUUGUUGGUGAGGUAAUGGCUCACCAAGGCGACGACGGGUAGCCGGCCUGAGAGGGCGACCGGCCACACUGGGACUGAGACACGGCCCAGACUCCUACGGGAGGCAGCAGUGGGGAAUAUUGCACAAUGGGCGAAAGCCUGAUGCAGCGACGCCGCGUGAGGGAUGACKGGCYUUCGGGUUGUWAWYCYUCUUUCAGCAGGGAAGAAGCGAAAGUUGACGGUMCCUGCAGAAGGAGSCGCCGGCUWACCUACGUGCCAKCAKCC
rnacentral:rRNA from 1 species